AAGUAAUCUGAGUUCAUUGCUUUAGUCAAAAAGUUGAAGAAGCAGAAUGGCUUUAUAAUUUUGGAAGGUAUUCCAAUGUAGGAGAAACCACUCCAGCUACGCUUAGUCAAUCAGCUAUAGCUCAGGAGCUGGAUACUCUCUAUAAUGGUAAGUCGCAUCACAUAAGACAACGUAAAACCAUUAGAAACUGUGAUCUUAAAACGUCAGCUGACAACCUUAUGGAUUAUUUACCAAAGGUUUAACAUGAGAUUAAGUAUUAAAAUCAUUGAAGGGGAUGGGAUUAUUGCCUAUUACUAAAGGAUGUUUGAUGGAAACCCUACCAACGUGACUGGAGAUCCCAAGAAGUUGGUUCAAAUGGACAACUAAAUCAAACAAAAUCCGAUAAAAGCACUGAAACCUACCCAUAUUCCAAGAUGAUAAUAGUGCUCCUGUAAAUUUAAGGUUAAGCAUUGGCUUUUAAUGAGAUAAGACCAUGACCUUCAUAUACAUGUAUAUAAAGUAUUACAGGGUACUUUAUUGUGUAUAUGGUAGGUGCACAUGGCAAUCACUUAGUGAGUGUGAAAUAGGGCCGUUUCUAGGAGAAUGAAGUUCAGGCUAUACUCUCCAAGUUCACUCAUGACUAACCAGGCAAGUUCACGACCAAAAUGAACACAAUAGAGAAAUUAACUCUACGAGAAAACGCAGCUGUGUUAUAUCUGUUGACUCGGUUUACAUAAACUUUCGGGGGGUUCAAGACAUCAUGUUCACCACCUGAAAAGUAAAUCCGACAGAUAUUAACAAUGAGUAGUUCAAAGCUGGAAAACGCUACUACAUCAUAUACAGUUAGUUUUUUCGCUUAUACUCUCGAAAAGUCCGUCUGUCUAGUCUACUGUUAGGUCUAGUUGUAGAGUCGGUCAUAGUCUAUCUAGUUUAGUGUUUAGAGUAAUUUCUAUUCGUGUGGGGGAUUGUUGGACCAAUUUUAUUAUAAGCCCAAUGGGCUGUGUAAUAAAUUGGUUAUGUGAAUAGAAAAUCUUUUGCAAUCCUAAUGGGCUGAGUAAAAGAUUGAUUUUAUGUGAAUGAUUAUGGGGAUUAUUUGACUCAUUUUGCAAGCUCAAUAAGCUGAGUAAAUUUAAUGGGUUAAGAUUUCAAUAACUUAAAAAAAAAAAAAAGAGCCAACUUGGUGACCAAGUUAGCCAACUUGGUGACCAAGUUAGCCAACUUGGUGGCCAAGUUAGCCAACUUGGUGGCCAAGUUUAGCCAACUUGGUGACCAAGUUAAGCUAACUUGGUGACCAAGUUUAAUUCUCUAUAAAUACCACCAUGAUCUCUCCAUAAUCUUACAUCUCACAACUCACUCAAUCAUCUCUCUAACUACCACUUUCUCUCACUAGAAAAGAAAAAAAUACUCUUUAGAUUUUAUUCUUUAAAGUAAGUGUCUCGAGAGUAUAUCGUAGUAGUUAGUUCGUAGAUUCUGCUGUUGCGAAACGGUCUCAUCACGGUUGUAUCCUGGGAUUCAAAAAUCGCAUAAAACCGUCACACAUUACGGGCGAUUUAUUGAGUUAAGAAAAGAGAUCAAAUCUCGACUCCGUGAAUUCGUCUAUUUCCUUACGAUUUCUUAAACGUUCAACAACGUGGGCCUUAGUGCACCUUCAGGGUUUCAGUACAACAAUGAUACAACUUCGUGGUUAGAUGCUGAGCCGUUAUUUCCUCGUCAAACAUGGUGAUCACCACGUGUCGAUAGCACCAGAUGAUUUCGUUAGAAGUGGUUGUAAUAGCAGUCGUUGGACACGAGAUUGGACUUCUCAAACUUUCUUUUACGCACACAUUAUUGGAGGUAAGAAUAUUCAAUUGUGACAAGCUCUCACUAUUAUAUAUACACUAUAUAUAUAGUAUAUGCUGAAUUUAGAUAUGAAGAAAACAUAUUAAAAAAACAAAUAUGA